rnacentral:rRNA from 1 species
GAUGAACGCUGGCGGCGUGCCUAAUACAUGCAAGUCGAGCGAACAGACGAGGAGCUUGCUCCUCUAACGUUAGCGGCGGACGGGUGAGUAACACGUGGAUAACCUACCUAUAAGACUGGGAUAACUUCGGGAAACCGGAGCCAAUACCGGAUAAUAUAUUGAACCGCAUGGUUCAAUAGUGAAAGACGGUUUUGCUGUCACUUAUAGAUGGAUCCGCGCCGCAUUAGCUAGUUGGUAAGGUAACGGCUUACCAAGGCAACGAUGCGUAGCCGACCUGAGAGGGUGAUCGGCCACACUGGAACUGAGACACGGUCCAGACUCCUACGGGAGGCAGCAGUAGGGAAUCUUCCGCAAUGGGCGAAAGCCUGACGGAGCAACGCCGCGUGAGUGAUGAAGGUCUUCGGAUCGUAAAACUCUGUUAUUAGGGAAGAACAAAUGUGUAAGUAACUAUGCACGUCUUGACGGUACCUAAUCAGAAAGCCACGGCUAACUACGUG